rnacentral:rRNA from 1 species
GGCGGGUCAGUAUAAGCAUCUAUACGGUGAAACUGCGAAUGGCUCAUUAAAUCAGUUAUCGUUUAUUUGAUAGUACCUUUUUACUUGGAUAACCGUGGUAAUUCUAGAGCUAAUACAUGCUAAAAACCCCGACUUCGGAAGGGGUGUAUUUAUUAGAUAAAAAACCAAUGCCCUUCGGGGCUCCUUGGUGAGUCAUAAUAACUUUACGAAUCGCAUGGCCUUGCGCCGGCGAUGGUUCAUUCAAAUUUCUGCCCUAUCAACUUUCGAUGGUAGGAUAGUGGCCUACCAUGGUUUCAACGGGUAACGGGGAAUUAGGGUUCGAUUCCGGAGAGGGAGCCUGAGAAACGGCUACCACAUCCAAGGAAGGCAGCAGGCGCGCAAAUUACCCAAUCCCAAUACGGGGAGGUAGUGACAAUAAAUACUGAUACAGGGCUCUUUUGGGUCUUGUAAUUGGAAUGAGUACAAUUUAAAUCCCUUAACGAGGAACAAUUGGAGGGCAAGUCUGGUGCCAGCAGCCGCGGUAAUUCCAGCUCCAAUAGCGUAUAUUAAAGUUGUUGCAGUUAAAAAGCUCGUAGUUGAACCUUGGGCCUGGCUGGCCGGUCCGCCUCACCGCGUGCACUGGUUCGGCCGGGCCUUUCCUUCUGGGGAGCCGCAUGCCCUUCACUGGGUGUGUCGGGGAACCAGGACUUUUACUUUGAAAAAAUUAGAGUGUUCAAAGCAGGCCUAUGCUCGAAUACAUUAGCAUGGAAUAAUAGAAUAGGACGUGCGGUUCUAUUUUGUUGGUUUCUAGGACCGCCGUAAUGAUUAAUAGGGGAUAGUCGGGGGCAUCAGUAUUUAAUUGUCAGAGGUGAAAUUCUUGGAUUUAUUAAAGACUAACUACUGCGAAAGCAUUUGCCAAGGAUGUUUUCAUUAAUCAGUGAACGAAAGUUAGGGGAUCGAAGACGAUCAGAUACCGUCGUAGUCUUAACCAUAAACUAUGCCGACUAGGGAUCGGACGGUGUUAGUUUUAUGACCCGUUCGGCACCUUACGAGAAAUCAAAGUUUUUGGGUCUGGGGAGAGGCCC